GUUCUAAUGUGUAAGCAACUCAGAAAGUUUAUUAAAACGAUUUCCCCACAUCAAAACGUCUGGUUGUAGCAUUUGGUUGCACUAAUAUAAUAUAUGUUUAGUAUUUGGCCAUCUUCUAACGUCUUCUAUCCACUCCACUAUAGUACACGGAUUUGGUAAUUGUGUAGAAGAUAAGUCAACUUUUUAAACUAACUUUCUCUGUCUGUGUUGCUUCACUGCUGAUUCUUGCCGUGCUUCCGUUGCCAAACUGCGUGCGCAUACGUUGCCACGUCAUCAUUGUGUACAAACAGUAAAAGGGUCACUCACUCACUCACUCUUUCGCAAGCUUCUCUGUUUUCAAGUAUUGUAAUUUUAUUCAUUUUACUCUCUCUCUCACUGUCCAAAACACUUAUCCUAUGCCUCUUUGUCUGACCAAUGUAGUAUUGUUGAAAUGGCUGCUGAGCAAGACAGAGGGAGAGCAGAGGGUGUUAUUUUCAUAGCAGACAUGCUUCUUGCUCAAAUCAAGGCAGAGGAGCCCAAGGGCAAAGCAACAGCCAUUAAAGGGAGUACAUUUAAUGUCAGAUAGGUGGAGAAAAUGCUGAAGGAGGUCCACUACUAAAAAGCAGCAGAAGUGAAGAGAUACAAAGCUUCAGCUACAGUCUGUUUAUUGCCUACAGUGAGACCUCCACAUUUCUGCACUUGUGAUCAUGCAAACAUCCAGUGUAGAGCACUUCACCUGCCCGGCAUGUACACCCAACAAUGCUCACUCUUUGUGCAGAUGGCAACAGAAAAACCUACAGAUUCCGUCAGUCAAAAGAAAGGAGCUUCAAGCAGCCACAAACGGAGAGUUCUUUUGAACAGAUAUUGCUUGCAAGUAUUGGCCAUACCUUGAGAAGGCGUCAGUCUCCAUGUUGGAACUCAGACCUUUACUGCAGAUGAGACCUUUCCUUUCUGUCAUGCAUGCCAAGGCUCAUUCAACCAAGUGUCAGGUGUCACACAUUUGUUAGAUAAUCUGGCAAAAAUCAGGAAGGUGCUGGUACAACUGCAGUUGAGGAGGUCGAAAUGGUCAACAGCUACCUGUCUCGUUGUGGCCUCACAACCAAGUAUCUAAUUGAUGCCUAUUUAUAAUAUUUUAGGAAACCUGUCUUUAUUUUUUCACUUUUUUAUUCUUUCUGUCUAGUACUUUGAGAUUGCAUAAGAGUAAGCUGUAACUGUUCAAAGUACAUAAAAAAUUGCCAUGAAUGACAUGCUAACUGUCCAUGCUAUUGGGUGGAACCAACGGAAGCAAGAAGGCCUUCAGCAUUAUCCAACAGAUACAUCAAGAAAGGCUGAGUCUCAGAGACGGGAAGAUUUGAGCAGUGAACUGGGGUGUCCUGAGAACAUUGUGAAUCAGUGGGUACAAGAUGUCAGACAAAAGGCUACUGAUGGAUUUGGUAGGUACCAGAUGUGAUGACCUACACAACCUUCAGAAAUGAAUUGAACAAAUGUUUCUUAGUCUUCAUCGAAAAGCCAGCCUUUAUAAUCACACUGAAUCCAGCAACACCAAGAAGAUUUCAAAAGUGCGCCUUCAAGAAGCAAAGAUUAUUGUGAUGAGGGAGAUGAGACACCACUGCACCGCACCUAUCUCAGAAGCCUGGCUAGGAACAUCAGGAAAAUGAUAUCAGAAAUGUCUUCAGGCAAAAACAGUGGCAGUUUAAGUGAAGAGUGUCAUCGCUGGCUACUGUGUCGUCUUCAGAAAAGGCUUGCAGAUGUAGAGAAGAAGUUCCAAGUUUGCUCAAGUUACAGCCAGGCUUUAGGACAGUGUUCUUCACUCCCAACCCUGGAGAGCCGGUGUCCUGCAGACUUUAGGUCCAACCUUAAUCAAACACAUCUGAAAGCUAAUCAAUGUCUUCAUGAUCUCUAGAAAAUCACAGGUACGUGUGUUUGAUUAAGGUUGGAGCUAGGCUCUGCAGGACACCGGCUCUCCAGGAUAGAGAGUGAAGAAAACUGCUUUAGGACCAAAUGCUGUUUCUCUGCUGGAGGAUGAGCCUGAGGAGAUACUGGAGGACCACAAAGAGCUGGAUUAUGAGAGUUCAGAUGACAUUUUGGAUUUGGAACUCUGAACUGGUGUAUGCAUUUAGACUGUGUGUCACACUGAACUGCAGGUGUGUUUCAUGGAAAACAAAACUAUUUGGAAAUGUAAUGGAUGUCUGAUACAGUGCUUUUAUUUUAGACAACCGUUUCCUGCAGUCUGUAAGCAACAUUAGCCUCAUAGAUUGAUGGGAAACUACUGUUAAAUAAGUUUUUGUAUGAUAAUCCAUAUCUCCGUUUACAAGCAGCAGGUUAGCUAUUAGGUUUCCCCUCCACCUCCGAUGUUUCACAGACUACUACAGUCAACUGUGUUGCUACAACUUGCAAAUGCCACAAUCCUCUUGCAGUGGUUACUUCACCAAACUGUGCCCAUAUCAUCUUGUCAACAUAAUGACAUUUACUGUAGAAAAAUGUGCAAAUCUAUUUUGCCUGUGUUACAUAUGUUACUAUUAUUGUUAUAUAGUUUUAUACUGUAUAAAGUUUUUUUCACAGUGAUUGUGGAUACGUUUGGAGUGAACUAACUGUAUGUCAUUAGAUGAAAUACUUUCCAUAAAUGACUGAUCAAUAACCUACCCAUAUUUGAUGCAUGAGUUAAUACUGUUGUUACCUUUUCAAUGAAAGGAAAUGUUUUACAAUGCCAUUUUCUUGAGGUAAUUAUUAAACUGUUUCAUAUAUGUACCUGCAAAAUUGUUUGCUAAAGCGUUGUUUACUUUUCCCUGUUUUGAAAAUGAGAUGUAAAACUGCUUCAUUUAUUUAUGCCCUAAAAAUAUAUGAUAGUUUAAUACAGGGUAAAUAAUAAAAACGUGUUAAUUAGUUAGUAUAUACAGUUGUGUUGUAUUAUUUAUGGCAUAGUUGUUAUAAUUAAUACAAGUUUUUCAUUACACUGCUGCAUAACUUUGCUCUAGAUAAUAGUAGGGUAUUAACACUAGACAGUUCAAAGAUGAUUAACUUUUAAGUUAUGUAUACUAUCAAUACAUAUAUUUACAUAUAGUAUGUGUGAAUGCUUUUGGUCUUUGAUUAAAUGCUUGUCAGCACGGGAAAGUGCUUUGUAAAUAAAGUUAUUUU